rnacentral:rRNA from 1 species
GGGAUCCCUCAGAUCAGGCGAGACUACCCGCUGAAUUUAAGCAUAUUACUAAGCGGAGGAAAAGAAACUACAGGAUUCCCUCAGUAGCGGCGAGCGAAGAGGCAAGAGCCCAGCGCCGAAUCCCCGUCCCCAGCCGGGGCGAGGGAAUUGUGGCGUACAGAAGACCGCUCUCUCCAGGUGUGGGCCGGGGGUCUAAGUCCUUCUGAUGGAGGCUUAGCCCGUGGACGGUGUGAGGCCGGUAAUGGCCCCCGCCCGCCGGGGUACGGUUCUUCUCGGAGUCGGGUUGCUUGGGAAUGCAGCCCAAAGCGGGUGGUAAACUCCAUCUAAGGCUAAAUACCGGCACGAGACCGAUAGCGGACAAGUACCGUGAGGGAAAG